GUGGUGGAGACCUAGCCGCCUCCUCCUCUCUCCCUCCCUCCCGCGCGCCUCCUAUCCUCCCACCCGCAUCGCCGCCGCCGCCACCCACCUCCUCGAACCGCGAUUGAACCCUAGCCAUCACUCCCCGCCAGCCAUCCUCCCUGCCCAUCCGCCGCCGCCACGCCAUCACCGCCACCUACCCUACGCGCUGUGGAGGAAGCGACCAGAGAGGGAGGGCGCCGGCGUGUGCGCGUGCUUCCACGGGUUCUCGCCGCGGUCGCCGGAGCCGUGGUCAACCGUGUCGGGGGGGAUGGGCGCCACAUCGCGGUCGCCGAAUCCGUUGGCUGCGAGUCCGGGCGCGUCGGAUCCGGUGGCUGUUAGGAGGCAGCGCUCGGAGGAGGUCGGACGCAAGAGGCCAGCGCGCGGAAGAGGCCGGGGCAUGGAGGCAGCGCUCGGAGCUCAGCUGCGGCGACGAGCUGUGCUACUGCCUUGGCUACAACCUCGUAGGUUCAUCUCCAAUGGCAAAUCCAUAGCUUUGUGCUAAAGGUUCAGGCAGAUGGAAGCAUUAGCAAUUCCCUCGACGUAGCUCUCGAUUGGGCCUGAACCACAACCAGCUAAGGGGACAUUUCUACAGAUCGUUUCUAUCUGAUUUCCGACAUUUUCAGUUUUUGGAACACCCAGAAUGGAUAUAUUGAGUGUCCCUCUUGCUGCUAAACACAAUACAGUUGAGAUUAUGUCCCUACAGAGAUUCUUAAAGAACAUGGUACACCGGAAUAGCUUCAGAUCAAAGUGAGCUGCACAUUUCAACACAUAUAACUCAGCCGAUGGACCUUCUUAUCAUGAAACACCAUGGCAAUCGAGCUGUCGUCCGUCCGUCCCUCCCUCCUCGCGCCCGGAACCCUAGCUCGCGGCCAUGGCGACCGUGCACGUCGCAGGCAGCGCAGGAUCUUCAGCACUACAAUGAUGCCCUGUGUUUUCCUCUUCCCAUUCUGAUAUAAUAGUCUUUUUUUAUUAUUUGUCUAUGUGCGCUCUGUAUAUGCAUAGUAUUUUUUCAAUUCGACACAACGUAUAGCUGAGAGCAGGGUUACCUAUGCUUGUUUUAGUUGCAGAAAGGUUAUUAGUUUACACUGCUCUGGGCACUUCAGGUUGCCCAACAGGGUGCUUUUAACCACUGAAAAUUGAACUUUUAGUCUCUGCUACCCUAUAACAUCAAGUAGAAAACUAGCCAUGUGAGUUCAAUGUGCAGGCCUGCGUGUUUGUAGGUUUUUUCCGAAAACGCAAAAUGACAGUAGCUAAUGUUUAUGUGAAUUCUGAAGCUGAUUAUCUGCUGUUUAAUAAGGUAUACUUGCUAUUAAACUUUGAAGCGCUGAUUCUCAUGGGUGGCCAUAGUUUAGUACAUUGACAUUCCCAUGUUCAUUAGUACAGCAACCCUUUCUAUAAUUAGAUGGAGCCACUGAAAUUCUGGAAGUGAACAUGUUUUGUCUGAGAUUGUGUGAUAGAACCAAAUGUGUUUUCCACCCUUUUCUAGUUAAGAUUAAGGUGUGUGCUGAUUGCAGUGUCAUGGUGCUUACAUCCUACUCCCCAUGGCUCGCUAUUGUUUCUUGAUUGUAUUAUCCUAUUACUUUUGGCAUCACAUCGUUGACUAAUUUUAUUUUUCAUUUGUCAGGUCAGGUGCCAAUUACUAAGGAGAGUCAACUUUAAUUGGCUGGUCCUAAGGAUUGAAAGGAAUGUAAGAUAUAUGUGCUUCUCAAUGAUUAGCUUUGUGAUUACGGAAUGAUCUAUAUGUAAAGUAUUUCUGUUUCAGUUAUAUUAUGUUGCCGAUGAUGUAUAGUUUUGGAACUUCAAACUAGAUCCAUGUAUUUUGUUUGUUUCCUAUAUGAUUCUGAUUGAUAGAAGCAACUUUGAAGUCAUGGAGAAUGAAAAUAGGACCCUGGCUCGCAGCUAUUAAAUUUAAGCAAGAGUUGUGACUCUUCUUUC